rnacentral:lncRNA from 1 species
CUUCCUUUUGCCUUCUACCCUUCUGCCAGGGGAUGACCCUCAUCACAUCCUGACACCAUGCUCUUGGGCUUCCCAAGUCCCCAGAACUGCUGUACAAGCAUGUACCUCAGCUACUGAUGAAGCCUCAGGAAGCUUAUAGUCAUGGCAGAAGGGAAGGGAAGCAAGUGGAUCACAUGGCAAGAAAGGAAACAAAAGAGAAGCCAGGCUCUCUCAGACAAGCUCUCACAUGAACUAACAGAGGGACAAGUCACUUAUUACUGUGGGGAGGGCACUAGGAUAUUCAUGAGGGGUCUGCUCCCUCCCGUGACCCCAACACCCCCCACCAGGCCCCAUCUCCAACAAUGGGAAUCACAUUUCAACAAGAGAUACGGAGGGAACAAAUACUCAAACCAUAUCACUUCCUGAAAAUGUUUAUUAAUUACAAUGGGAAAAGAGUAGAGUAACUUUACUUGGGGAGAAAUCUCACAAACACAAGCUUACUGAAUGAUCAAAUAACAUCCCCAGUGACAGGAUAAGUGAACAUCAUGUGCCACCUGAGGGAAGAAGAGUACUACAUCAUUUCUACAAUAUGACAGCCAAAAUUCUAUGACCUGAAUCAAAUCAUGAGGAAACAUCAGACAAACUCAAACUGAAGGGCAGUCUCCAAAAUAACUAGCCCAUAAUCUUCAAAAGCAUCAAACCCAUCAAGGUCAAAAAAGGACUAGGAAUUGUUCUGGAAUAAAGGAGCCUGAGAGGACAUGACAGUGAAAUGCCAGGCUUGGAUCCCUGUGCUACAAAGGAUGUUAUGAGGACAAGUUGAUAAAGCCUAAACGAGAUCUCACGGUGAAGGCUAUAUGGGAAUUCUUCGUACUGUUCUUAUGACUUUUACAUAGGUUUGAAAUUUUUAUAAAAUAAAAAUAAAUUUUUGGCCGGGCACAGCAGCUCAUGCCUGUAAUCCUAGCACUUUGGGAGGCAGAGGCGGGCAGAUCACUGGAGGCCAGGAGUUCAAGAGCAGCCUAACCAACAUGGUGAAACCUCCAUCUCUACUAAAAAUACAAAAAUUAGCCGGGCAUGGUGGUGUAUGCCUGUAAUCCCAGCUACUCAGAAGGCUGAGGCAUAAGAAUUGCUUGAACCCCAGAGGUAGAGGUUGCAGCGAGCCCAGAUUGUGCCACUGCACUCCAACCUGGGCAACAGAGUAAGACCCUGUGUCAAAAAAAAGUAAAAAAAAAAAUCACUUUCAUUAAUUACUAUAGUCCGAAUGUGUCCUCCAAAAUAUAUAUGUUGAAACUUAAUGGCCAAUAUGAAAGUAUUAGGCAGUAGGAUGUUUAGGAAAUUAUUAAGUCCUGAGGGCAGAGCCCUCAUAAGCAGGACUUUGGCCCUUAUAAAAUGGUG